rnacentral:rRNA from 1 species
CGCCAGACUCCUACGGGAGGCAGCAAUGGGGAAUAUUGGGCAAUGGACGCAAGUCUGACCCAGCAACGCCGCGUGAAGGAAGAAGGCUUUCGGGUUGUAAACUUCUUUUAAGGGGGAAGAGCAGAAGACGGUACCCCUUGAAUAAGCCACGGCUAACUACGUGCCAGCAGCCGCGGUAAUACGUAGGUGGCAAGCGUUGUCCGGAUUUACUGGGUGUAAAGGGCGUGCAGCCGGAGAGACAAGUCAGAUGUGAAAUCCACAGGCUCAACCUGUGAACUGCAUUUGAAACUGUUUCCCUCGAGUAUCGGAGAGGUCAUCGGAAUUCCUAGUGUAGCGGUGAAAUGCGUAGAUAUUGGGAGGAACACCAGUGGCGAAGGCGGCCUGCUGGACAUUAACUGACGCUGAGGCGCGAAAGCGUAGGGAGCAAACAGGAUUAGAUACCCGUGUA